rnacentral:rRNA from 1 species
UACGUAGGGUGCAAGCGUUAAUCGGAAUUACUGGGCGUAAAGCGUGCGCAGGCGGUUGUGCAAGACCGAUGUGAAAUCCCCGGGCUUAACCUGGGAAUGGCAUUGGUGACUGCACGGCUAGAGUGUGUCAGAGGGGGGUAGAAUUCCACGUGUAGCAGUGAAAUGCGUAGAGAUGUGGAGGAAUACCGAUGGCGAAGGCAGCCCCCUGGGAUAACACUGACGCUCAUGCACGAAAGCGUGGGGAGCAAAACGG